UACGAAGGGUGCAAGCGUUAAUCGGAAUUACUGGGCGUAAAGCGUGCGUAGGCGGUUUGUUAAGUCGGUUGUGAAAUCCCCGGGCUCAACCUGGGAAUGGCAAUGGAUACUGGCAAGCUAGAGUGUGUCAGAGGAUGGUGGAAUUCCCGGUGUAGCGGUGAAAUGCGUAGAGAUCGGGAGGAACAUCAGUGGCGAAGGCGGCCAUCUGGGACAACACUGACGCUGAGGCACGAAAGCGUGGGGAGCAAACAGG
rnacentral:rRNA from 1 species